rnacentral:rRNA from 1 species
GACGAACGGCUGGCGGCGUGGGAUUAGGCAUGCAAGUCGAACGGUAGGAUACCUUCGGGUAUCUGAGAGUGGCGAACGGGUGAGUAACACGUAGGUGAUCUACCCUCAAGAUUGGGACAACCCAGGGAAACUUGGGCUAAUACCGGAUGAAAGCAGCAGUGAUGUUGUUUGAAAGGCGGCGUAAGCUGCCGUUUGGGGAUGAGCCUGCGCUCUAUUAGUUAGUUGGCGGGGUAAAGGCCCACCAAGGCGAUGAUAGAUAGGCGGCCUUAACGGGUGGUCGCCCACACUGGGAUUGAGAUACGGCCCAGACUCCUACGGGAGGCAGCAGUCGAGAAUAGUCUACAAUGGCCGAAAGGCUGAUAGUGCGACGCCGCGUGAACGAAGAAGCCCUUCGGGGUGUAAAGUUCUUUUAUAUGUGAGCAGUGCUUUCUAUGUGAACAGCAUGGGGAGAGAGAUAUUAGCAUAUGAAUAAGCAACGGCUAACUCCGUG